AGUGAACGCUGGCGGUAGGCCUAACACAUGCAAGUCGAACGGCAGCACAGUAAGAGCUUGCUCUUACGGGUGGCGAGUGGCGGACGGGUGAGGUAUACAUCGGAAUCUACUUUUUCGUGGGGGAUAACGUAGGGAAACUUACGCUAAUACCGCAUACGACCUACGGGUGAAAGCAGGGGAUCUUCGGACCUUGCGCGAUUGAAUGAGCCGAUGUCGGAUUAGCUAGUUGGCGGGGUAAAGGCCCACCAAGGCGACGAUCCGUAGCUGGCCUGAGAGGAUGAUCAGCCACACUGGAACUGAGACACGGUCCAGACUCCUACGGGAGGCAGCAGUGGGGAAUAUUGGACAAUGGGCGCAAGCCUGAUCCAGCCAUACCGCGUGGGUGAAGAAGGCCUUCGGGUUGUAAAGCCCUUUUGUUGGGAAAGAAAAGCAGCAGGUUAAUACCCCGCUGUUCUGACGGUACCCAAAGAAUAAGCACCGGCUAACUUCGUG
rnacentral:rRNA from 1 species